UUGGAUCUGGUGUAUGGUGCACACCCCCCACCGAUAAUUGAUGAUUAUAUGAAUGAACUGGGGGAAGACGGGGUUCGAUUCCCCGGGUCUGAC